rnacentral:rRNA from 1 species
AGUGAACGCUGGCGGUAGGCCUAACACAUGCAAGUCGAACGGCAGCACAGUAAGAGCUUGCUCUUACGGGUGGCGAGUGGCGGACGGGUGAGGAAUACAUCGGAAUCUACUUUUUCUUGGGGGAUAACGUAGGGAAACUUACGCUAAUACCGCAUACGACCUACGGGUGAAAGCAGGGGAUCUUCGGACCUUUCGCGAUUGAAUGAGCCGAUGUCGGAUUAGCUAGUUGGCGUGGUAAAGGCCCACCAAGGCGACGAUCCGUAGCUGGUCUGAGAGGAUGAUCAGCCACACUGGAACUGAGACACGGUCCAGACUCCUACGGGAGGCAGCAGUGGGGAAUAUUGGACAAUGGGCGCAAGCCUGAUCCAGCCAUACCGCGUGGGUGAAGAAGGCCUUCGGGUUGUAAAGCCCUUUUGUUGGGAAAGAAAAGCAGCAGGUUAAUCCCCCGCUGUUCUGACGGUACCCAAAGAAUAAGCACCGGCUAACUUCGUG